GGAGAGGUGGCAGAGUGGACUAUUGCACCGGUCUUGAAAACCGGAGUCCUCGCAAGGGGACCGUGAGUUCGAAUCUCACCCUCUCCG
rnacentral:tRNA from 2 species